rnacentral:rRNA from 1 species
GUGGGGAAUCUUGCGCAAUGGGCGAAAGCCUGACGCAGCCAUGCCGCGUGAAUGAUGAAGGUCUUAGGAUUGUAAAAUUCUUUCACCGGGGACGAUAAUGACGGUACCCGGAGAAGAAGCUCCGGCUAACUUCGUGCCAGCAGCCGCGGUAAUACGAAGGGGGCUAGCGUUGCUCGGAAUUACUGGGCGUAAAGGGCGCGUAGGCGGACAGCUUAGUCAGGGGUGAAAGCCCAGGGCUCAACCUUGGAAUUGCCUUUGAUACUGGCUGUCUUGAGUUUGGGAGAGGUGAGUGGAACUCCGAGUGUAGAGGUGAAAUUCGUAGAUAUUCGGAAGAACACCAGUGGCGAAGGCGACUCACUGGCCCAAUACUGACGCUGAGGCGCGAAAGCGUGGGGAGCAAACAGGAUUAGAAACCCCGGUAGUCC